rnacentral:rRNA from 1 species
UACGUAGGGGGCAAGCGUUGUCCGGAUUUAUUGGGCGUAAAGAGCGUGUAGGCGGCCAGGUAGGUCCGUUGUGAAAACUGGAGGCUUAACCUCCAGCGGUCGAUGGAAACCAUCUGGCUAGAGUCCGGAAGAGGAGAGUGGAAUUCCUGGUGUAGCGGUGAAAUGCGCAGAUAUCAGGAAGAACACCCGUGGCGAAGGCGGCUC